GACGAACGCUGGCGGCGUGCCUAAUACAUGCAAGUAGAACGCAGUUGCGCACGGGUGAGUAACGCGUCGGUAACUGCCUCAUAGCGGGGGAUUACUAUUGGAAACGAUAGCUAAUACCGCCUACUGUGAGCUGGACCUGCGUUGUAUUAGCUAGUUGGUGGGGUAAAGGCCCACCAAGGCGACGAUACAUAGCCAGCCUGAGAGGGUGGACGGGCAAAAUGGGACUGGGGACCGGGCCAGACUCCUAAGGGGGGCAAGAAGAGGGAAACAUCGGCAAAGGAGGGAAGGCUGACCGAGCAAAGCCGCGUGAGUUAAAAAGGUUUUCGGAUCGGAAAGCUCGGUUGUUAGAGAAGCGGUAACUAACCAGAAAGGGACGGCUAACUACGUGCCAGCAGCCGCGGUAAUAC
rnacentral:rRNA from 1 species